UACGUAGGGUGCGAGCGUUGUCCGGAAUUAUUGGGCGUAAAGGGCUCGUAGGCGGUUUGUCGCGUCGGAAGUGAAACACGGGCUUAACUCUGUGCUUGCUUUCGAUACGGGCAGACUAGAGGGAUGCAGGGAGAACGGAAUUCCUGGUGUAGCGGUGAAAUGCGCAGAUAUCAGGAGGAACACCGGUGGCGAAGGCGGUUCUCUGGCAUUCCUGACGCUGAGGAGCGAAGUGUGGGAGCGAACAGG
rnacentral:rRNA from 1 species